AUGACCAAAUCUGAGAGAGAGAGAGAGAGAGAGAAGCAAGAGGGAGAGACGGGAGGAAGAGGGAGGCACAGGGAGGCCGGCGCAUCCAACGGUGGUGGUGGUUUGCGCGGGGGUGGGCUCUAG
rnacentral:rRNA from 1 species